rnacentral:piRNA from 1 species
UAGAUUUAAUAUUGAUGACCUGGCAUGUUG